rnacentral:tRNA from 1 species
GACUCUGUAGUGAAGUUCAUAGUGAGUUGCAAGCUCAUUGAUGUGCACUAAGGUGCGCCGGGGUCU